GAUGAAGAACGCAGCGAAAUGCGAUAAGUAAUGCGAAUUGCAGAAUUUCCGUGAGUCAUCGAAUCUUUGAACGCACAUUGCGCCCGCUGGUAUUCCGGCGGGCAUGCCUGUUCGAGCGUCAUUUCAACCCUCAAGCUCUCCGGAGUUUGGUGUUGGGGCGCCUGGGGCUUUUCGACCUCAGGGCCCUCAAGUCCAUCGGCGGGACCGCCAGGACACUGAGCGCAGUAGUAUUAUUUCGCUCGGUAGGAUCUUCCACGGCGGGUCGAUCUGGCCGCUAAACCCCCCAAUUCUCACCAAAGGUUGACCUCGGAUCAGGUAGGAAUACCCGCUGAACUUAAGCAUAUCAAUAAGCGGAGGA
rnacentral:misc_RNA from 1 species